rnacentral:tRNA from 1 species
GCCCUGGUGGUCCAGUGGCUAAGACUCGGUGCUUCCAACUCAGGAGGCAUGGGUUCAAUUCCUGUUCAGGGAA